rnacentral:lncRNA from 1 species
AUUUGGACAGCAAGAAUAACUAAAUUUGGACAGCAAGAAUAACUACAUUUGGACAACAUUUCCUUUGUUUUUUGGACAUCCACAAACUGAUUUUGAGAUGAAAGAUGGCACAAAUCAGGUUAAGCACAAAUAUCACAUCCACAAACAUAAGGUGUUAUCCGACAUAUCAGCACUCGCUUGUGGCGGGACAAUAAACAGAUUUUGCUCCUCAUAUUCCUCAUCAUCCUUGUCCUUGUCCUCAUCUAUGUCCACGUCCUCGUCCUCGUCGUCCUCCUUCUCCUCGUCAUCUACCACCUAACACACAUGAGCACGCAAAUAAACAAACAACACCUAUAUGGUUAUAUGGAAAUAUGGCUACAUCAAGCAUCAAGUAAAGCAAUCAUACAAUAGUAGAUGCAUGAGGCAGCUCGGAGCAGGUUGCGGAGCUGGAGGCAGCGCCGAAUCUUGCCUAAUUAAGUAAUUCACGCUCUUCUCCUUUGUCUUCGCCUUCGCAUUCUCCUUACCAUCACCCUUU